GACGAACCGUGCGAACGUUGUUCGGAAUCACUGGGCUUAAAGGGCGCGUAGGCGGAUUCUCAAGUCGGUGGUGAAAUCGUUCGGCUCAACCGGACAAGUGCCGCCGAUACUGGGGGUCUCGAGGGAGGUAGGGGUCGCGGGAACUGGUGGUGGAGCGGUGAAAUGCGUAGAUAUCACUUGGAACGCCGACGGUGAAAACAGCUCGCUGGGAGUGUGCCGACGCUGAGACACGAAAGCCAGGGGAGCGAACGGG
rnacentral:rRNA from 1 species